rnacentral:rRNA from 1 species
AUUGAACGCUGGCGGCAGGCUUAACACAUGCAAGUCGAGCGAGCGGCGGACGGGUGAGUAAUGUCUGGGAAACUGCCUGAUGGAGGGGGAUAACUACUGGAAACGGUAGCUAAUACCGCAUACCAUCAGAUGUGCCCAGAUGGGAUUAGCUAGUAGGUGGGGUAAUGGCUCACCUAGGCGACGAUCCCUAGCUGGUCUGAGAGGAUGACCGGCAACACUGGAACUGAGAAAGGGCCCAGCGUCCUCGGGGGGGAGGCAGUGGGAAAAAUGGCACAAGGGGGGAAGGCCGGAUGCAGCAAGGCGGCGGGUGUGAGGAGGGCCUUCGGGUGUAAAGGCCUUUUAGGCGGGGAGGCGUUAUUCGAAGAAGAAGAACCGGCAAACUCCGUGCAAGCAGCGGCGGUAAUCC